UAUCUCCAGCAAUAGAGAUAAAAUGAAAUAUUAAAAAGCACUAAUUAAUUCAAAAGAAGCAGAAAAAAAGAAACAAUAACAAGGAGAGAUGAGUCUAAUAGAAAACCAAUAACAAAUAGUAGAUUUAAAUUCAGCCAUAUUGAUAAUUAUGUUAAGUGUAAGUGGUUUAAACACUCCAAUUAAAAAGUCAGAGGUUGUCAGACUGGUUAAAAAAAGCAAGAUCCUAUUAUGUGCUGUGUACAAGGAAACUACUUUAUAGAACAGAAAGUUAGAAUUAAAAGGAUGGAAAAAGAUAUACUAUGCAAACAUGAAUUACAAGAAAACUAGACUGGCUAUGUUAAUAUCAGAGCAGACAAUAUAAAAAGGAAUAUUACUAGGAAUAAGGAGGGACUUUUCAUAAUGAUAAAGACAUCAAUUCAUCUGGGUGAUAUGACAAUCCUAAAUGUACUCGAACUUCAAAGUACAUGUAGCAAAACCUGACAGAACUGAAAGGAAAUUUUUUAAAAACCCCACAAUUACAGUUACAGAUUUCAAUACUCUUCACUUAGCAAUCAGUAAAGAAGUAAGACAGAAAAUCAGCAAGGAUAUAGAAGACAGUACCAGUCAACUGGACCUGACUGCACUCUGUCCAAUGAUAGCAGAAUAUAUAUUCUUUUCAAGUUCACAUGGAACAUUAACCAAAAGAGACUAUAUGUUAAUCAUAAACAAGUUCCAACAAGUUUAAAAGUAUUGAAAUCAUAGAGUAUGUCCUCCACUCAUAAUGAAAUUCAAUUAGAAAUCAAUAACAGCUAUUUGAGAGAUCUCCAAAUAUUUAGGAAUUAAGCAAUAGACGACUAAACAACACAUGGCUCAGAGAAGAAAUCACAAGAGAACUUAAAAAAUAUUUUGAACUGACUAAAAAUGAAAACACACAUAUCAAAAGUGUGGGAUGUAGAUGUAGCUACAGCAGUGUCUCAAGGGAAAUGUAAAAUAUUAAGUGUUCAUAUUAGAAAAUAUGAAAGGUCUAAAAUUAGCAAUCUAAAAUACUGCCUUAAAAAAUCAAGACAUGGAAGACAAAUUAAACCCAAAGAAAACAGAAGGGAGAAAAUAACAAAGACAAAAGCAGAAAUCAAUAAAAUAGGCCCAGAUGGCUUCGGUUGUGAAUUCUAUCAAACAUUUAAGAAAGAUAUAUACCAAUGUUUUACAAACUCUUUGAAACUAGGAGGAUGAAAUACUGCCCAGUUCAUCUUAAGAGGCUAGCAUCAUCUUGGUGUAAAAUCUGACAGAUAUUACAAGGGGAAAAAAGAGAAAAACAACAACUAGAAACUAAUAUCCUUCAUAAACAUAGAUGUAAAAAUUCUUAGCAAAAUACUAGCAAAUUGUGUGCAACACUCUCUUAAAUAAUGUCUCAUGGCCAAGUGGGGGUUAUUGCAGGAAUGUGUGAGCAGCUAGAGGAAGACUAUUGAAGGUGCGGGUGUAUGACAAUGGGAAGUACAAAUAAAAGUGAAAUGAGAGCACCUUUGGCUCCAAUAGUCUUGAUUUCUAUUUUGACUGUGGUCAACAUUACCAAGCAUUUACUACAUUCCAGGAAACAUGUUCAGAGCUUUAUGUGGAUUGUUUUGUCUUUAUUAGAACCCCAUGAGGUAGGUACUGUUGUGGGCAUUUUAUAGAUGAGUGAACUAAGGCACAGAGAAAUUUGAGAACUUGUCUGCAGUCCCCUGGCUGUUAAGAUUUGGAUCAAUGGUUGUCAGACUUCAGUCCCUGCACUCUUUAUUAAUGUGCCACUUUGCACAGAACUGCUCAUUUUCUUUGCUUUUGCCUAGCAAGGCUUAUUUCAUCAAUCUGAAACACUUAUCCACUUUUUUGGUCCAUAAUUAAGAACUGAUCUCUGAAUCAAAAUGCUAACUACUUUCAAAUGCAGAAUAUUUCCAAAAUAAAAGUAUGUUUCUUAAAUUACAAAAGUCAUAAUAGGACAUUGGAAGAUAUGUUCCAUUAUCCCCUCCUCAAUUUUGAUGUGGUUACAAAUAUUGUGGUGUCCAAGAAGUGGAAAAAAAUCCUUUCCCCUGCUAUGUGUAGAACAAAAUGCUUUUACUUUUCAUUAUGUGUAGACCUAGAUUUCAGUGCUGGCACGGUGGCUUGAUGGCAUAUAGACCUGGGCAAGUUCUUUAAGCCCUGUGAGCUUCAUUCCCCAUUUGUAAGAUGGAACAGUUCUGCCUUCCACACAGGAUAGUGUGAGGAUUAGAAAGCUAUCCAGGCACACUUCAAUUUUAUUUUCUUCCCUCUGCUUUUCCCUGACUUUUUCUCCUUGAUGCUGCUUCCCUGGAGUCUCAGAAGUUUGAAUCUCUCAAGAAAAAUGUUUAUCAAAUUUUUAAUUUUUUAAUUUUUAUUUUCUAUGUUGAUCUUAUCUUACAUAAUUUCAAACUUGUUUUGACCAUUGUCCACUGUAAGAAAUAUGCUUUACUUCAUAAAGCAGUACAUACAUUAUACACAAAUGUAUGUAUUAUGAACGUCAUCACCCAAUUUACAGUACACACUGGGAAAGUUAUUAUUUUGAAAGUAAUACCUACGCUGGGCCAAUAAGAAUAAAGCAGGGUGUUCUGGGCAAAUUGGGCCACAUGUCCCCAAAUCACUUGACCUUAUGUAUUUGGAUGCACUCUGUUUUCUUGUAUUCUAGCUAAUUUAAAAAAUGCUUUUCAGGACCUAUUAGAUUAAUUUUGUAACCCACUAAUGAGUCUAAACCGAGCAUUUCUGCUUACCUCUAGAGAAGAACUUGUCUGACUACUCCAAUAUUCUUGGUUGCAGAAGUGCUGAAGAUGAGCAUACACAUAUACGGAGAAUUUCCAGAGAAUUCAGCUGCUCAGAACAAGAACUGAGAUCCAGAGAGAUGAUGACUUUGCCCAUAAACCGAACAAAUAAAUACAUGUGUCAGUCCUGUGUCCUUCUGCUGUGGUCUGUAUUUCUCUACCUGGACUACCCUGAGAGCUAACCCCAGUUAUUGGUCUGGAAGCAACGAAUGAAGGCCGGGACAGAGCUGGAGGAGGGCCACAUCAUUUCGUCACAGUCACUGUCAAGAAUCUAGUUGCAGGCUGGGUGCUGUGGCUCACGCCUGUAAUCUCUGCACUUUGGGAGCCGAGGUGGGUGGAUCACUGGAGCCCAGGAGCUCAAGACCA